UAUUCAAUUUUAUUCAUUUCUAUUUAAUUUAUCUAUUGAAUUUAUCUGUCUUUGAUUCAUCUGUAUUCAAUUUAUUUGCAUUCAAUUCACCUGUAUCUAAUUUAACCGAUUAAUUAGGUUUGUCAGCGUCGCUAGAAUCGUCGGUAUCGUUAUUUAAUUAAAAAUAAUCGGAUUAAAAAUAAUCCACUGACAUUUUUCACCGGCUAUAUCAACUUAUCGUACGAUGGACGGAGUCAUGUUGGUUCACUUGAAAUUAAGCCUGCGAUCAGGAUCUCGGUGCUUGCCACCUUCGCGUUUGGUUCUAUUCUGAAUUUAGCUGAAAAGUGUGUCUUCAUACGCGUCGAUUCAAUAUUUGUGCGAAAUAGGCAAAGAGCGUUGAAACUGGUUCUUUCGGUAAUCGACGUUGAAAGCGUCAACUUCGUUUAUUUAUUUUCUCGUCAGACGAGGGAGGAAUCAUUUAGCUUGUUAGUUUUUCUGGGACAGUUGUCGAAGACCGCAGGGCACCCACAUUUUUUUUUAAACCUUCUCGUUUCCCAUCGUUCGUUCAUGCCAUUUUUAUGCCUGUCUUUUUGCAGGUCGACAACAACAAUGUUUAUUAUGAUAUAUUCCUUCGUUAGAGGAGCAAUAGCCACAUCACCGGUUUAUGUAACUUCUCAUCAAGGAAAAUCAUCUUAUCGUUACUAAGCAAAUUAGGCGGAGAUUAUGCAUUUACCUCUUAGAGUGCUAGGAGAUGAAUCGAGUUACGAGAUAGGGGAUUCUGUUUUCUCUGCCUCCGCGGACGCUUCGGGGUCUCGUCCGACCCGGACUAUUUUACACCGAGAAAUGACCGCCAGGGUUUCAUCCAAAUAUUUAGAUGAUCCAGGAAAGAGAACAGUUUCGUCGUCGUCGUCGUUGAUCAUAAUAGCUGAAUGGAGUCAUCGACAAUUCAAUUACGAUCUCGCACGUGUUAACAGCGAAAUAGAAAAAGAAACGUUCACACACGUCUGUCGGAGCUGCGGAGGACUAAAUAUCGGCCACGCUGUAUUCGCACAUUUGGAAUCCAGUUCUCGAAUCCGGCGACUGUUUACCGUCUCGCGGAACAACCAUAAGGCGAACAAGUUGCAAUUUAUAAAUAACGCUACGCGACGUUAGUCAUCCGCUUUGUUGAUUGUUACCGGUACGUUGCGUCCAGGCAUUGCAUAAUUGUCGAUCGUCGUCGAGUAUCAUUGCCCGUCGAGAUUGUCUCUCAUUGAUAUUUUAUCUACUCUCCGAGCCUCGCCGCGCCGAGAUUCGUUUUAUCCUAUAUCGCCGUCAACCUCGUGCGUCUAAUGACAGCAUUUAAGCGCCGCCGUUGAUGUCCGGCGAUGAUCGUCGGGAAAUGAUUUUCAAGAACUGUUCGGUCCGCUACUUACUCUAAUUGCGGCGACGGAAUUCCGCCGAGACUCGAUUCGAAUCCUCUUCGUCGGCUUUUGUCGUCGACGGAAACACCAGACCCGGGCACGAUGUAUGUAUACGCGAUGCUUGACCGGCGAGCACGGAACGCGAUAUUGUCAGCGCGAAGCCAGACCGCCAACUGACGAUAACAUUUAUCAGCAAUACUAUUUAUUUCCUUGUUUGUGCCCGACCAUUUACUGAUUAGAACCCUAUCGACGCAUCGUAUUUGACUAAGUGGUUUUAUCUGCCAUCGAACGUUGCACGAUCUCGCCGAUUACGUAGCGGAUCUAUGACAAGCUACUUCAGCCGUCUCAUCUUGUUAUUAUCAUUUAUUAAUUCUUGCCUAUUUAGGCUGAGGAUGACUUUCAGUAUACAUAUGCAUAUCUUUAGUUUUCCAUUGCACGGUGAACUACAAUUGCA